UACGGGGGGGGUAAGCGUUGUUCGGAAUUACUGGGCGUAAAGGGUCUGUAGGUGGCUUGCUAAGUCAGACGUGAAAUCCCUCAGCUUAACUGGGGAACUGCGUCUGAGACUGGCGAGCUUGAGUGCAGGAGAGGAACGCGGAAUUCCAGGUGUAGCGGUGAAAUGCGUAGAGAUGUGGAGGAACACCAAUGGCGAAGGCAGCCUUCUGGGCCAACACUGACGCUCAUGCACGAAAGCGUGGGGAGCAAACAGG
rnacentral:rRNA from 1 species